rnacentral:rRNA from 1 species
AAACGUUUGACACCAGUUAUGCGGGUGGAAAAUCAGUCUUUUGCAGUGGGGAGUUGUGGGCGUUCAGACCGCAAGGCUGGCGUUUGCUUCAUCUUUGUUGUAAGUGAUGCACUUUUUCAUUUGCAGGUCAA